AAAGACAAAGUAGGAUCUUUAAUUCAAGAUCCAGGGAAUGAAUUGAAGUUAAAGAUGUACGCCCUUUUUAAGCAGAGCUCAAUGAUCUCGACCUUAUUUAAACCCAUUGAACUCUACAACAACUGGAAGGCUAACUUGGACGCCAUCUUUGAAGCCUGCACGAGCGCCGCCAUUGAAGGUACGGAGGCGAAAUACAUCACUUCGAAAUUGCCGAAUUUUUUG